CCACAAUCACCCAGGCAUGUGCAAGUCCCGGAGACGCCGGAGACCAUGGUCCAGUGGAAUCGAUUAAAAGAGGGUCAAACUGAGUUGCAGGAAAAAACCGAAGUGCGGAAAGAAUUAAUAAGUGACCACAAUAGUGAGGAUGACGACACAUCUCAUAAAUCAGACACGCCAAAUGAUGUUGUUGAUUUUGACGGCGAACCAACAGAAAAGGCUGUACAGAAUGAAAAUACGGAAAAUGUAAGCGAUCGUUGAAGCCGGCAAUUAAAAACAAAGACGAGUCCAGGACGGUUUAUGUAUAUCGGAAGGAUUUCAUCAUGGAAUUCCCCUCUUGCAUCUUCGCAAUAAUCUACACUGCAUCCUGAAUUAUUUAAUGCAGUCUUAUAAUUCGACAGGUUCUUAUCUAGUGAAUUAGCUUCUCUUAA